CAUCACCAGAGGGUUGUCCAUCACCCCAGGAUUCUUGGUCUCAUUGGGGAUGAUGCAGCGCACAAAGUGGGGCACCUGAAUCCUUCUUUGAAGAGGACCCAGCUGCAGCAAUGCUGGCAAAGUACUGGAUGACUCUCUUGGUGUUGACAGUCUUCCCAGCACCAGAUUCUCCACUGAGGCAAGGGGGGUUGCAGGCUGGGAAUGAGUGCAGCCAGACAACACAGACAGACUCCUGAGGGCCUGUAGGAGGAGAAGACAGCCAGCCUGAGAGGGAGAGUAUUCCAGGAUGACCAGCCCACUGGAAGGCCAGCAGAGAGGGC